rnacentral:tRNA from 1 species
GGAGGGGUGGCCGAGUGGCUGAAGGCACACCUUUGCUAAAGGUGCAUACCCCAAAAGGGUAUCGUGGGUUCGAAUCCCACCCCCUCCGCCA